rnacentral:rRNA from 1 species
AUGAACGCUGGCGGCGUGCCUAACACAUGCAAGUCGAGCGGAGGUGUGGAGUAGUUUACUAUGAAGCAUCUUAGCGGCGGACGGGUGAGUAACGCGUGGGCAACCUGCCCUAUGCAGGGGGAUAACAUAUCGAAAGGUGUGCUAAAACCGCAUAAAGCUUAAGAAUCGCAUGAUUUCUAAGCCAAAGAUUAAUUGCUUCCGGAUGGGCCCGCGUCCCAUUAGCUAGUUGGUGAGGUAACGGCUCACCAAGGCGACGAUGGGUAGCUG